UACGAGCUUGUAUAUCAAACUUUUUUUUCUGGCGGCCCAAUCGAAUUGAGAGAGGAGGCUCCACGGUUCUUUUGAAGACCCUGACCUGGAGUUACAUGCUGACUUUGGUUCUUUGCGGAAAUGGGACCCGCUCUCAGGGUCUCACGACUGGCCGCUAUUCAAUAUACCAAGGACGCGGCCUAGAAGAUUGGUGCGCCUUCAGGGUGCUGGAUUUUCGUGGCUCUGAAAGCAGGCAGACUCGAGGUUGGUGCCACUGCCUGGUGUGUCGUGGGAGUACAUGGAAGAUCGUAAGCAGCAAGCUGGCUGCUGGCUGUGUGCCCAGAGACCCGAGUUCUUUGGGCACAGAGCUCGGAAAAAGCGAUACAACAGACUUUUAACAUCGUAAAUCAGUCAUUUAUAAAAAUCACGAAGAGGAGGGGUCCCAGAACAGAUCCCUGAGGCACACCACUGGUCACU